CUAUGAGGUGUCAGGUCGCAUUGAGGCCAUCGAGGGCUCGAGAGAGGACAUCGUGGUUCCUGUCUACCUGCGGGAGCGCACCCCUGCCCGUGACUACAACAACUCCUACUAUGGCCUGAUGCUUUUUGGGCACCCACUCCUGGUAUCAGUGCCCCGGGACCGCUUCACCUGGGAGGGCCUGUAUAAUGUCCUGAUGUACCGGCUCUCACGCUACGUGACCAAACCCAACUCAGAUGAUGAGGACGAUGGGGAUGAGAAAGAAGAUGACGAGGAGGAUAAAGACGACGUACCUGGGCCCUCAACUGGGGGCAGCCUCCGAGACCCUGAGCCAGAGCAGGCUGGGCCCAGCUCUGGAGUCACGAACAGGUGCCCGUUCCUCCUGGACAAUUGCCUUGGCACAUCUCAGUGGCCCCCAAGGCGACGACGCAAGCAGCUGUUCACCCUGCAGACGGUGAACUCCAAUGGGACCAGCGACCGCACAACCUCCCCUGAAGAAGUCCAUGGUAUCUCCUUUGGCUAUCAGCGAGGGCUGGGGAGGCUGGAGGGGAGAUUUCCUAGCAGCAGGAUCCAUGACCACCUCUCCCUCACCCCCAGCCCAGCCGUACAUUGCUAUCGACUGGGAGCCAGAGAUGAAGAAGCGUUACUAUGAUGAGGUAGAGGCUGAGGUAAAUGAGAUCCCAGGGAUGGGGGGUACUUUCAGCUCUUGCCCCUCAACUCUUCGUACAUCUUCCCCACAACUCCUCCAGCUGGUAACAGAGCCAAGAGAUCCAGGUCAAGCCUGGCCUUGGGGCCUGAACACCCACUGAGAGCUCCAGGGCCUGAGGUUCCUAGCUUCAAAGUUGGUGCUCUGACCCACUCAGUGUGUGUCUCCCCCGCUGGGCCCCCACUCCCCAUUUCUCCACCU
rnacentral:sRNA from 1 species